GCGGCCGAUGUCUGAUUAGCUAGUUGGUGAGGUAAAGGCUUACCAAGGCUUCGAUCAGUAGCUGGUCUGAGAGGACGACCAGCCACACUGGGACUGAGACACGGCCCAGACUCCUACGGGAGGCAGCAGUGGGGAAUUUUGGACAAUGGGGGAAACCCUGAUCCAGCCAUGCCGCGUGAGUGAAGAAGGCCUUCGGGUUGUAAAGCUCUUUCAGCCGGAACGAAACGGUCACGGCUAAUACCCGUGAUCACUGACGGUACCGGAAGAAGAAGCACCGGCUAACUACGUGCCAGCAGCCGCGGUAAUACGUAGGGUGCGAGCGUUAAUCGGAAUUACUGGGCGUAAAGCGUGCGCAGGCGGUUUUGUAAGUCAGAUGUGAAAUCCCCGGGCUCAACCUGGGAACU
rnacentral:rRNA from 1 species